rnacentral:rRNA from 1 species
UACGUAGGUGGCAAGCGUUUGUCCGGAAUUAUUGGGCGUAAAGCGCGCGCAGGCGGUCCUUUAAGUCUGAUGUGAAAGCCCACGGCUCAACCGUGGAGGGUCAUUGGAAACUGGGGGACUUGAGUGCAGGAGAGAAGAGUGGAAUUCCACGUGUAGCGGUGAAAUGCGUAGAGAUGUGGAGGAACACCAGUGGCGAAGGCGGUCUGCUGGGCCGUUGCUGACGCUGGAGGCGCGACAGCGUGGG